UACGGAAGGUCCGGGCGUUAUCCGGAUUUAUUGGGUUUAAAGGGAGCGUAGGCCGUUUGUUAAGCGUGUUGUGAAAUGUCGGGGCUCAACUUGGGCAUUGCAGCGCGAACUGGCAGACUUGAGUGCGCGGGAAGUAGGCGGAAUUCGUCGUGUAGCGGUGAAAUGCUUAGAUAUGACGAAGAACUCCGAUUGCGAAGGCAGCCUGCUGUAGCGUAACUGACGCUGAAGCUCGAAAGCGUGGGUAUCGAACAGG
rnacentral:rRNA from 1 species